AAAGGGCUGAAAAAAUGCUUCUGGAUUUCCCUAGUAACGGCGAGUGAACAGGGAUUAGCCCAGCACCGAAGUCUGCGUCCGUUUGGGCGUUUGACAAUGUGGUGUUUAGGUUGGCGCUUUCUGGCGUUGCUCCAUUUAAAGUCCAUUCUUGAAUAUGGCUAAUAUUUUGGCCCAAAGAGGGUGAAAGGCCCGUGUGGAUGGAGUGAUGCUUGACUGCGCUAGCUGUAGAGUCGGGUUGUUUGAGAACGCAGCCCAAAGUUGGUGGUAAACUCCAUCUAAGGCUAAAUACUGGCACGAGUCCGAUAGCGAACAAGUACCGUGAGGGAAAGUUGAAAAGUACUCUGAAGAGAGAGUUAACAGUGCGUGAAACCGCUUAGAAGCAAACGGGUGUAGUCACCCUUCAAGCCUUAAGAAAUAUGGUGGUCAGAAUGGCGUGAUUCUGACCACACAGGGCUGAUUUUCUGGUUCCGGCUAUAUGUUGGGUAUGGCCCGUAUGGGUUGUAUUUGCGAAGUGCUUUUCAGCGCUGCAAGCCUGUCCAUCAUUUGUUCUACUGAUCAUCUCAUUUUCUUUUUGGCGUAUGUCACGACCGUCGAUGCCGCCGGUCUGCUCCUUUUAACCGUUUCGCUGGCAGUCUCUUGCUAUUAGCUUUGCGGGGGCAGGUAGCCGGCCGAACUU
rnacentral:rRNA from 1 species